rnacentral:rRNA from 1 species
UACGAAGGGGGCUAGCGUUGCUCGGAAUUACUGGGCGUAAAGCGCACGUAGGCGGCUUUCUAAGUCGGGGGUGAAAUCCUGGAGCUCAACUCCAGAACUGCCUUCGAUACUGGAGAGCUCGAGUCCGGGAGAGGUGAGUGGAACUGCGAGUGUAGAGGUGAAAUUCGUAGAUAUUCGCAAGAACACCAGUGGCGAAAGGCGGCUGCAGC